rnacentral:sRNA from 1 species
GCCCAGUUGACCUCCGGUGACCUGUCUCUC